rnacentral:rRNA from 1 species
UCAAGCAAGAUAGGGCACAGGGCGGAUGCCUUGGCACUGAGAGCCGACGAAAGACGUGAUAAGCUGCGAAAAGCCGCGGGGAGGAGCAAAUAUCCAUUGAGCCGCGGAUGUCUGAAUGGGGGAACCCGGCAGGAAGAACUCCUGUCAUCAUGCACUGAAUCCAUAGGUGUAUGAAGGGAACCCGGGGAACUGAAACAUCUAAGUACCCGGAGGAAGAGAAAGAAACAUCGAUUUCCUUAGUAGCGGCGAGCGAAAGGGAAAGAGCCCAAACCGAGAGAUUUAUCUUUCGGGGUUAGGACUGCGUAAUUGAUCUGCGAUUGAUAGGAGAAUGGUCUGGGAAGUCCAGCAGGAAAGCGUGAAAGCCGCGUAUCCGAAAUUGAAAGCAGCAAGGCAGUAUCCAGAGUACCACGAGACACGAGGAACCUUGUGGGAAUGAGCGGAGACCACUCCGUAAGGCUAAAUACUACUCAGUGACCGAUAGCGCAUAGUACUGUGAAGGAAAGGUGAAAAGGACCCCGGGAGGGGAGUGAAAGAGAACCUGAAACCCUGUGUUUACAAGCUGUGGAAGUUCUUUAAAUGAACAACCGCGUACUUUUUGUAGAACGGUCCGGCGAGUUGCGGAUACUGGCAAGGUUAAGCACUUAAGGUGCGGAGCCGAAGGGAUACCAAGUCUUAACAGGGCGUUAAGUCAGUAUACGCAGACCCGAAACCGGGUGAUCUAUCCAUGUCCAGGUUGAAGUUGUCGUAAAAGACAAUGGAGGACCGAAGCCACAUCCGUUGAAAAGGGUGGGCAUGAGGUGUGGAUAGGGGAGAAAUUCCAAUCGAACCCGGAGAUAGCUGGUUCUCCUCGAAAUAGCUUUAGGGCUAGCCUUCAGUUAGUCUGCCGCAGGUAGAGCACUGAAUUUCCUAGGGGGCGUCAAAGCCUACCGAAGAAUAUCAAACUGCGAAUGGCGGACAGAUGAUGCUGGGGAGUCAGACUGCACGAGAUAAGUUGGGUGGUCAAAAGGGAAAGAGCCCAGACCUACAGCUAAGGUCCCAAAGUGCGUGUUAAGUGGAAAAGGAUGUGGGAUUUCAAAGACAACCAGGAUGUUGGCUCAGAAGCAGCCAUUCAUUCAAAGAGUGCGUAACAGCUCACUGGUCGAGAGGUCCUGCGCCGAAAAUGUCCGGGGCUGAAACACCACACCGAAGCCGCGGAACCCGUAAGGGUUGGUAGAGGAGCAUUCUUAGGGGAGCGAAGCAUUACCGGAAGGGGAUGUGGACCGCUAAGAAGAGAGAAUGCCGGAAUGAGUAGCGAGAGCAAGGUGAGAAUCCUUGCGGCCGAAUAUCCAAGGUUUCCAGAGUAAAGCUGAUCUGCUCUGGGUAAGUCGGGGCCUAAGGAGAGGCAGAGAUGCGUAUCCGAUGGACAGCAGGUUUAAGAUUCCUGCACCCCUUGUUAUCAGAACUGCGGGGACACGGGAAGGGAAGCAGAGCCGGGAAUGGAAAGCCCGGUGCAAGCGAAGUAGUCGCAGGGUUGGAAAAUCCGCCCUGCAUAAGACGAAGGCGUGAUGCGGAGCGAAAUGAAGUAGUGAAGCUGCGGCCCCUUCCUGUCGAGAAAAGCCGCUAUCGUGUAGCAAGGGCCCGUACCGUAAACCGACACAGGUGGAUGAGGAGAGGAUCCUAAGGCCGGCGGGAGAAGUGUUGUUAAGGAACUCGGCAAAAUGACUCCGUAACUUCGGGAGAAGGAGUGCUGCGCAAGCAGCCGCAGAGAAAUGGCCCAAGCAACUGUUUAGCAAAAACACAGGUCUAUGCGAAACCGAAAGGUGAGGUAUAUGGGCUGACGCCUGCCCGGUGCUGGAAGGUUAAGAGGAGAGGUUAGCGCAAGCGAAGCUUUGAAUUUAAGCCCCAGUAAACGGCGGCCGUAACUAUAACGGUCCUAAGGUAGCGAAAUUCCUUGUCGG